CGUAGGGUGCAAGCGUUAAUCGGAAUUACUGGGCGUAAAGCGUGCGCAGGCGGCUUUGCAAGACAGAUGUGAAAUCCCCGGGCUUAACCUGGGAACUGCAUUUGUGACUGCAUGGCCAGAGUGCGGCAGAGGGGGAUGGAAUUCCGCGUGUAGCAGUGAAAUGCGUAGAUAUGCGGAGGAACACCGAUGGCGAAGGCAAUCCCCUGGGCCUGCACUGACGCUCAGGCACGAAAGCGUGGGGAGCAAACAGGAUUAGAUACCCUGGUAGUCCACGCCCUAAACGAUGUCAACUGGUUGUUGGACGGCUUGCUGUUCAGUAACGAAGCUAACGCGUGAAGUUGACCGCCUGGGGAGUACGGCCGCAAGGUUG
rnacentral:rRNA from 1 species